GAUGAACGCUGGCGGCGUGCUUAACACAUGCAAGUCGAACGAAGCGCUUCGGACAGAUUCUUCGGAUGAAGUCCUUAGUGACUGAGUGGCGGACGGGUGAGUAACGCGUGGGUAACCUGCCUCAUACAGGGGGAUAACAGUUAGAAAUGGCUGCUAAUACCGCAUAAGCGCACGGUACUGCAUGGUACAGUGUGAAAAACUCCGGUGGUAUGAGAUGGACCCGCGUUGGAUUAGCUAGUUGGCAGGGUAACGGCCUACCAAGGCGACGAUCCAUAGCCGGCCUGAGAGGGUGGACGGCCACAUUGGGACUGAGACACGGCCCAGACUCCUACGGGAGGCAGCAGUGGGGAAUAUUGCACAAUGGGGGAAACCCUGAUGCAGCGACGCCGCGUGAGCGAAGAAGUAUUUCGGUAUGUAAAGCUCUAUCAGCAGGGAAGAAAAUGACGGUACCUGACUAAGAAGCCCCGGCUA
rnacentral:rRNA from 1 species